AAGGGAGACCUAAUUCCGGUAGGAGACGAAAAAAAAGUAGUCCCUACCAAGAAUCAAUCCCAAAAGGUCGAAGCGAGGCAAGAUUGGCUUUCAAACUAGGUUCUGGGUUCAAACAAGACCUGAAUCAGGAACAAGGGCUAUUAGCUCAGGUGGUUAGAGCGCACCCCUGAUAAGGGUGAGGUCCCUGGUUCGAGUCCAGGAUGGCCCACCUGCACAGGUGGCAAAAACAAAGAAGCGAGGAAUCAGCACCAUAUCUUACUCAUAUAGUAAGAGAGAAUGCUGGCUCUGAGUAAAGAGUCCAGAGGAACCUUGAAAACUGCAUAGAGCUAGGUGAAAAAGCCAAAAAAGAAGACCGCAA
rnacentral:tRNA from 1 species